AACGAACGCUGGCGGCGUGGAUAAGACAUGCAAGUCGAACGGAUCAAUGUGAGUAGCAAUAUGAGCAUUGGUUAGUGGCGAACGGGUGCGUAACACGUGGAUACAUUCCGGGAAGCGGGGGAUAGCCCAGGGAAACUUGGAUUAAUACCGCAUGUGAUCGAGAGAUCAAAGGCAGGGACCGCAAGGCCUGCCACUUCCCGAUUGGUCCGCGGCCUAUCAGCUAGUUGGCGGGGGAAAGGCCCACCAAGGCUACGACGGGUAGCUGGUCUUAGAGGACGACCAGCCACACUGGAACUGAGACACGGUCCAGACACCUACGGGUGGCAGCAGUCGAGAAUCUUUCACAAUGGGGGCAACCCUGAUGGAGCGACGCCGCGUGGAGGGUAAGGUCUUCGGAUUGUAAACUCCUGUCAUGUGUGAACAAGGUUGCGAGGUUAAUAGUCUUGCAAAUUGAUGGUAACACAAGAGGAAGAGACGGCUAACUCUGUGCCAGCCGCCGCGGUAACAC
rnacentral:rRNA from 1 species